AUUGAACGCUGGCGGAAUGCUUUACACAUGCAAGUCGAACGGCAGCACGGGUGCUUGCACCUGGUGGCGAGUGGCGAACGGGUGAGUAAUACAUCGGAACGUACCCAGUUAUGGGGGAUAACUAACCGAAAGGUUAGCUAAUACCGCAUACGCCCUGAGGGGGAAAGCGGGGGACCGUAAGGCCUCGCGUAAUUGGAGCGGCCGAUGUCUGAUUAGCUAGUUGGUGAGGUAAAGGCUCACCAAGGCGACGAUCAGUGGCAGGUCUGAGAGGAUGAUCUGCCACACUGGAACUGAGACACGGUCCAGACUCCUACGGGAGGCAGCAGUGGGGAAUUUUGGACAAUGGGCGAAAGCCUGAUCCAGCCAUUCCGCGUGCAGGAUGAAGGCCCUCGGGUUGUAAACUGCUUUUGUACAGAACGAAAAGGUUUCUACUAAUACUAGGAGCUCAUGACGGUACUGUAAGAAUAAGCACCGGCUAACUACGUGCCAGCAGCCGCCGUAA
rnacentral:rRNA from 1 species